UGGAUCAGAACGAACGCUGGCGGCAGGCUUAACACAUGCAAGUCGAGCGCCGUAGCAAUAUGGAGCGGCAGACGGGAGAGUAACACGUGGGAACGUGCCCUUUAGUUCGGAACAACCCAGGGAAACUUGGGCUAAUACCGGAUACGCCCUUACGGGGAAAGAUUUAUCGCUAAAGGAGCGGCCCGCGUCUGAUUAGCUAGUUGGUGAGGUAACGGCUCACCAAGGCGACGAUCAGUAGCUGGUCUGAGAGGAUGACCAGCCACACUGGAACUGAGACACGGUCCAGGAUCCUACGGGAGGCA
rnacentral:rRNA from 2 species